rfam:Canis lupus familiaris chromosome 9, whole genome shotgun sequence.
UUUGCCACUGAUUGUCCAAACGCAAUUCUUGUACGAGUCUGCGGCCAACCGAGAAUUGUGGCUGGACAUCUGUGGCUGA